UAAAAGCAUGAGUUGAAUUAAACUACCUGUGAUAAGCGUUAGCUCCUCAAUAAAGAAGUGGCCGAGGUUUAUUAAGCAGCUGUUCUGAGGAGAAACUUUUAAAUAGAGGAAGUGUUCUUCCUCUCUCUCUGUGUGUGUGUGUGUGUGUGUGUGUGUGUGUGUGUGUGUGUGUGUUGUGGUGGAUGUACACAUGUUUCCUGGUCUCUGCUUCUGUUCAGUCGUAAUAAAACGACGUCGGGGUCAUGACCUCCACAUCUGUCGUCUGGUGUAAGGAGUCGUUCACAGAGUCGACAACAUCUGUCCCAGCAGCCACUGGUUCCAUCCAGCUGCAGGCUCCCAGUACAGCUGCUUCAGGAUCGACUGAAACCGCUGGAGGAGAAACCACCACGUUUCUCCAUCAGCCUCCACAGACUAGGAGCAAACAUCUGGAUUCCUGCCCCCCCCAGGCGACCCCACACAACAGUGAGAAGGGUGAGGAUGAGGACGGUGAGGAAGGCAGAGAGGAGAGCGUCAGGCUCAGGGACGACUUGUCUCCUCCAGAGGUCGAGAACUUCCUCCUCCUGAGGAGCAGCCCCGUCGUCUCCAGACGCCACCGGCCCGUCUCCUGGCACGGAGGAGAGGCCUCCACCUCCCGCUCGUCUCCUGGUCCUCUGUCCCUGGAUCAGCGUGGACGUCCCACAGCCGUCAGGACGGAGGAGGACUGUCCUCCCUCGUCUUCGCUCCAGGACAACAAGCAGCACCGCGUCUCAUCGCACCUGAACAAUUUUCUGACCUCGCUCUUCCACCUGCCCUCCAGCGGACUACAGGGAUUGGCUGGGGAGCACAGAGGGCGGCGCCCAACCAGCUGUGAAGCCCCUCCCACAGCAGCUCUCUCUACCAAACACAGAAGCAGUUUCCCUGAAUUCUCAGCAGACAUCUUUAAAAUGAGCUGUGAUCUGGAAAAGGAGAACGCUCACUUCGUGGUGGUGGACCUGGUGCUGGAGGCUCUGGAAGCUGUGAAGUGGACUCUGCGCGACGAGCGACGCACAGACACACACACACAGCCCGACAACAGAAAGAGACAGAAGAGCACAAACAGACGCACACGAGAAGACGACAACAGACAGAAACAGUCAAACAGACGCACAAACGAAGACAAGCACCAACCGACCGGUGUGGUCUCCACUGACGGUGAAUCUGAAGACGGUGGAGGAGACGUGACACUGACCCUCCGAAGUGCGGAGUGGCUGGCCCAGCGGCUGGUGCUGGAGUUCAGGAGGAACUGGUUUCCGUCCCAUGAGGUUCGGGGGGGACGGCAAAGCCUCCGCAGCUCACUUCAGGAGCUGCCGGGUACAGGCAGUGUGGCGGCGAGCGGCGGCAGCCUGACGGAGGAGAUCCGCCUGAGGACCAGGAUGAGAGGAUCCCUGAGCUGGGCUCCUCCUCGUCUCCAGAUCAUCUUCACCGUUCAGCCGACGCUCAGACGCAGUGAGGUCGUGGCCUCUCAACACUUCCUGUGUGCAGGAUGUGGGACGGAGGUGGAGCCCAGAUACAUGAAGAAACUGAGGUACUGUGAAUACCUGGGCAGGUAUUUCUGUGACUGCUGUCACGGCGGCUCGGAGGCUGUGAUUCCUGCUCGAGUUCUGUCCUGCUGGGAUUUCAACAGAUUCCCUGUGAGUGAUUUCUCCAAACAGCUGCUGGACUCAGUUUGGUUUCUGCCUCUGUUCGACCUGAGCUGUGUCUGUAAGCAGCUCUGCAGCCGAGUGAGGGAGCUGCUCCGGCUCAGGGAGCUUCUGGAUCAGCUGUUGGGCGUCAGGAAGCUGCUGAAAAGCUGCCGAUUAUCUGAAAGGGUGAUGACUGAGAUGGAGCAGCUUCCCUCUCACCUCCUCCAGCAGCCGCCCCUCCUCUCCAUGGACGACCUCCUGAGGCUGAGGAAGGGUCAGCUCGGGGCGCAGGUCAAAGCCGUGCUGCACGCCGCCAUCAGUCACGUGGAAGACUGCGAGCUCUGUCUGGCUCGAGGGUUCAUCUGUGAAUUCUGCAGAGAAGGAAACGUCCUGUUUCCCUUCCAGAGCGACGCCUGCAGCCGCUGCCCAGUUUGCAGGACCUGUUUUCACAAACACUGUUUUGUGGAGAAGAAAUGUCCAAAAUGUUCUCGGAUCCAGUCCCGGAAGAAAGACGGAUCCACGAGGGCUGAGAGCUGAACGGCUUCUUCGUCCCACUCACUGCACCACGGCUUCAUGUAGAAACACUGUUGAGCUGGAGAUGACAUAGUGAAAACACUUUGUUGGAGAGUUUGGACGUUUGGACCAAUCACAGGAAGUAGAGACAGAAUUAAACAUAGAAGAAGAAGAAGAAGAAGAAGAAGAAGAAGAAGAAGAAGAAGAAGAAGAAGAAGAAGAAGAAGAAGAAGAAGAAGAAGAAGAAGAAGAAGAA